rnacentral:rRNA from 1 species
UCGAGGGGCAGCGSGGGUAGCAAUACCUGSYGGCGACCGGCAAACGGGUGCGGAACACGUACRCAACUUUCCUUYAAGUGRGGRAUAGCCCAGRGAAAYUUGGAUUAAUACCYCGUAAYAUUAUGWAGUGGCAUCAYUWUAUAAUUAWAGCUCCGGCGCUURAAGAUGGGYGUGCGGCUGAUUAGGUAGUUGGCGGGGUAACGGCCCACCAAGCCUGCGAUCAGUAACUGGUGUGAGAGCACGACCAGUCACACGGGCACUGAGACACGGGCCCGACUCCUACGGGAGGCAGCAGUAAGGAAUAUUGGUCAAUGGACGCAAGUCUGAACCAGCCAUGCCGCGUGAAGGAUGAAGGUCCUCUGGAUUGUAAACUUCUUUUAUUUGGGAAGAAAYCCAUWUUUUCUARWGUGGUUGACGGUACCAGAUGAAUAAGCACCGGCUAACUCCGUGCCAGCAGCCGCGGUAAUACGGAGGGUGCAAGCGUUAUCCGGAUUCACUGGGUUUAAAGGGUGCGUAGGUGGGYMKGUAAGUCAGUGGUGAAAUCUCCGGGCUUAACYCGGAAACUGCCAUUGAUACUAUMUGUCUUGAAUAYCGUGGAGGUDAGCGGAAUAUGUCAUGUAGCGGUGAAAUGCUUAGAUAUGACAUAGAACACCAAUUGCGAAGGCAGCUMACUACRCGAUCAUUGACACUGAGGCACGAAAGCGUGGGGAUCAAACAGG